rnacentral:lncRNA from 1 species
GGAAAAAAAAGUAAAUAGCAAAAAUUAUUCCUCUAUCAUCAAUAGCGUUCUAGUUCUACUCUUUUUGUAGAUCUUUAACGACAUCUAAUGAUAAUGAAAUAUUUUAUGCAUCUUAAAAAUUAGGGACAAUUGCUUAUAUAUUUCUGAAAAAUUUUCGACUUUCUGAUUUAGCUCUUUUAGAAUAUGAGAGGCAAUAAAAUGUGAGGGGUAUAUUGAAAAUAAAAAAAAUAUAAGGAUAAAUUAGACAUUUUCCAAAUUUU